rnacentral:rRNA from 1 species
GAUGAACGCUGGCGGCGUGCCUAAUACAUGCAAGUCGAGCGAACAGACGAGGAGCUUGCUCCUCUGACGUUAGCGGCGGACGGGUGAGUAACACGUGGAUAACCUACCUAUAAGACUGGGAUAACUUCGGGAAACCGGAGCUAAUACCGGAUAACAUGUUGAACCGCAUGGUUCAACAGUGAAAGACGGUCUUGCUGUCACUUAUAGAUGGAUCCGCGCCGCAUUAGCUAGUUGGUAAGGUAACGGCUUACCAAGGCAACGAGGCGUAGCCGACCUGAGAGGGUGAUCGGCCACACUGGAACUGAGACACGGUCCAGACUCCUACGGGAGGCAGCAGUAGGGAAUCUUCCGCAAUGGGCGAAAGCCUGACGGAGCAACGCCGCGUGAGUGAAGAAGGUCUUCGGAUCGUAAAACUCUGUUAUGAGGGAAGAACAAAUGUGUAAGUAACUAUGCACGUCUUGACGGUACCUAAUCAGAAAGCCACGGCUAACUACGUG